CCUGCCGUUGCCGGCGACCGGCGCACGGGUGAGUAACACGUAUGCAACCUGCCCGUGGCAGGGGGAUAAGCGGGGGAAACCCCGUCUAAUACCGCGUAACGCGGCCUAGGGACAUCCCAAGGCCGCCAAAGGGAGCAAUCCCGGCCACGGAUGGGCAUGCGGCGCAUUAGCUAGUCGGCGGGGUAACGGCCCACCGUGGCGACGAUGCGUAGGGGUUCUGAGAGGAAGGUCCCCCACACUGGUACUGAGACACGGACCAGACUCCUACGGGAGGCAGCAG
rnacentral:rRNA from 1 species